rnacentral:lncRNA from 1 species
AUGUGCACACGUUACUUUCUGUCCAAACCAUAUUCCCUUUGCGUCUCUCGUGUUUGCCAGAUGCCAGCUUUCCAAUUGGGACCAAAAAAAAAAAUAGUGUGGGUGGCAGCCUACUUUUGCAUAUAUGCAGCCAGGACCAAGGAAGGCAGAGACAAGGGACCUUAUUCUGAGAAAUAUGGAGCACAAAAUAAUGCACAGAGCAAUCGUAGAGUGGCACCAAGGCUUGAUGGACGUCUACGCAGAGGCACUGAGACCUGAGGAAGCAAGGCCCCCGGAAGAGAGGAGCAGGCUCAGGACUGCCACAUGUGGAGCUAGGUCGCCAGCCCACCCCUGGAGACGAAUGAGGAAAAAGCUGCUGAAGCCUCUCAGCUGGCAAAGCCUGCGAAGGUAUUCUGCACAACACAAAGCAUUAUUCAUAAAGGCAUAUGUGGCUGAUAGUCCUCUACGGGAUAUUUGGAUGUCUCCCAUAAUUACUUCACUUCUCACCGUUUCAGAGCGGAGCCUUCAGGCAGCUCCAACUUUUCCAUGUUGCACCCAGCGCUGACAACAGAUGGUGCUGCCUCAAUCCCCUCAGCCAAAAGAGGCACCGAAUCUGACUAACUUUGGGGAUUCCUGGUAUGAAGAGCCGCAGGUGAUGGGUAUGUCAGACUUUCAGGAAAGCACGCAGCCGUUUUCAACUGUGCAGGAACGUCUGCUCCAGCCCCUUCCGUGACCAAAGUCGGCCUGAGUCACCCCACAGCAAAGGCAACCUGGAGCACCAUCACUACUUAAUGAAGUAAGACUUAUAUAAAACAUAUAUAUAAAUAGAAACAGCAUCAAUUCAGUGUGAUUGGUGUUAUUUUCACUAGCCCUCCUUGGAACAGAAUCCGUGUCUUUCACCAUAUCUGUAAAUCAUUAAAUACACUGGCCAAUUGCUUAUUUUUCUAAGAAUGAGACACCAAAUUUGAACAUCUCAGCUGAGGAUGGGAAUAAAUUUCUGUGGGAGAUGAGUAUAGCUCA